CCUACGGGUGGCUGCAGUGGGGAAUAUUGGACAAUGGGCGAAAGCCUGAUCCAGCCAUGCCGCGUGUGUGAAGAAGGCCUUCGGGUUGUAAAGCACUUUCAGUGGGGAAGAAAGCCUUGGGGCUAAUACCCUCGAGGAAGGACAUCACCCACAGAAGAAGCACCGGCUAACUCCGUGCCAGCAGCCGCGGUAAUACGGAGGGUGCGAGCGUUAAUCGGAAUUACUGGGCGUAAAGCGCGCGUAGGCGGUCUGAUAAGCCGGUUGUGAAAGCCCCGGGCUCAACCUGGGAACGGCAUCCGGAACUGUCAGGCUAGAGUGCAGGAGAGGAAGGUAGAAUUCCCGGUGUAGCGGUGAAAUGCGUAGAGAGCGGGAGGAAUACCAGUGGCGAAGGCGGCCUUCUGGACUGACACUGACGCUGAGGUGCGAAAGCGUGGGUAGCAAACAGGAUUAGAUACCCUGGUAGUC
rnacentral:rRNA from 1 species